UGAGAAGCCUGAAAACCCCCAUCGGAACCCUCCAGCUAUCUGUAUGUGAUUUAAGGAUGGUGCUACAAUUUAUCCAGUGUCAGAAGUAUCAAUGACAGCUGUUGGUGGACAUGCUUUGUGGGUUUUGUGUUUCCUGUUUUCUACCCACAGGAAGGCUGGGAGGUCUUGUGAGGAAGGAAGGGGAUGUCAGGGGUCAUGGAGGUGUAUCCAUGUAGCUGUCAUGUGGAACAGAGGGGCCUUGUUGUGUGGAUGUCACCAUGCAGGGUGCUACAAUCAGAGCCAGAUGGCAGCCCCUGACAGGGUCGGCAGAGAUGACAGGACCCCUUGCUGCCCCCCUGAUUACCCCCACAUGGUGCAGGUCCUCCCCUGACAUGUGACUCCCAGGAAGAGCUGUGAUCUAUGGGACAACUUUAUCUCCUCUGUGAAAUUACCUCCUCCCUACAUCCUAGAAGUAAGAAACUGGACCACACAUCAGGAAAAUGUGGUAGUAUGAUGGCAACCUACUUCAACUUGGGAUAAGCAUCAUAAGGGAGCAAGGGGAUGAGAGCUCAAAUUCCUGCCAAGCCGUAUGGAUUUCUGAACGGAGAGAAGGUUGAGCAGACUGCUAUGAUGGGCGAUAGUGAGCUGUCUCCCUAACUCAUUCAUCCCAAAUCAUGUAUCCAAGUGCUGUCCACAAAGGGCUAUUCCACUCCAGCAAAAUGGGAUAGGGCCGCUCAGAAAAGUGGUAUGAAGACUAGCCAACUGCACCCCAAAUCAAAUACAGGAUACUACAAAUGUACUACUAUUUGAUGUCACAUUGUACUGUUUUGCAUGCUGACCUUCCAACAUUAUGAUGAAAACGCAACGCGUGCAUCUGCCGUAGGAGAUAAUAACGUUUCCUGUUUAUGAAGAGCGGGUCUACGCCACACAUCACAGCUUGUGGUCAGCAUUUCCAGGUCACCGACCAACCAGAAAGGCAGCCGAAGCCUUUGAUCAAGCCCAUGUACAAACCCACAGGAGGAAGCAGUACAAAGACAACUGGUAACACAACCUUCAAAUGUUCCUUGACGACCUGUAGACAUCUCCUUCUUGAAGGUCACAUGUGCCACUGAGAACUCAGUUGUUCCACUCGGAAAGCUGGAAGGAGUGGACGGGAUGUACUUCAAUCUUUAAAUGUUGUAAGAUGCAGUUCUGUUCAACUGAACCCCAACAGACAUUCUUCCAUGCAGUAUGAAAUCCUCCUCAGGUGUAUUUGCAACGACAUUAUUCCUUCUAUUUGUACAUGUAGAACAAUUCUAAUGGAGGUUAUUUUAUUUGCCAUUUUAUAAUUCCUGGGCGCAUACUGUCCUCUAUAGCCAUUUCCAGGUAAGUUUUAAAAAAGCUGGCCAAUAAAGAUACUCUCUCUACUGGUACUUUUAUCAGAGGGAUAUUUCCUAUUAAGCCUGCCCUUAAGGGUUCCCUCUCGAGAAUCUCAUAUUUUUUCUCAGGUAACAGCCAGCAUCAUAAAGAUGUCAUUCAGAAGAAUUUGAAACAUAUAAUAUGGUUAUAUGCUCAUGCCUUAAGGGGGUUCAAGACAAAAUGUGGUGUAGUGUCAUUCUUAUAAAGGUAAUAGAUUCAAGGUUAGUUACAAGUUGUAUAUCUUUGAGUACAUCAAGAAGUUUGUAAACAUUCUAUUAGUUGGUAGGAACCUCUUUUCUCAUGAAAUUGAAGGACUACUUUUGCAAUCGAAUACAUCAAUGCUCAAUGAAAUAUCUGUUCCUUAUACAGUAUUAUUUUUAACAAAUGCUAUUUUCCUUAAUUGUCUUCCUGACAUGACAUGCUAUGUUGUAGUAAUGAACAAGAAGUUAGUUGAGAUGUGAAAUCUGAAUGAAUGAAACUGUGAAUUGCUUUACACUAAAAAAA